CUCGCAAACCUCCUGCUCUCUCUCUCCUUGCUUCCUUAUGACAGUAUUUUGCACCAGGGCAUCCUCAUCCUCAUCUCACAUCACUCCUCUGCUCUUCCAGAAUCAUUGGUUCCACGUCUGCUGCUCAGAUCAGCAGAUGUGCGUUGUACAUGUUAAUCAUUUUCUGUGGAAGGUCCUUUCCUGGUCUUAAUUAUCCAUCCUUAUUUUCCACAUUGGAUACUGCUCCCUUCAUGUUUACUUGUUGUGUACAAGGAAUCCUACUGUUUACAUUCAAAUUUUACUUUUCAUUAAUAUGUAUUUGACACUGUCUUGAAGGCAAUCGCAUUAUCACCCCAAUUUUUGCUAAUCUUUAUUUUUAUGGUAACAUUAAUUGUUAUUUGGGGGGACAUGUAUUUCAUCUUUGGUAAUGGAAAUGAAAUAACUAUGCCCUUAAAUUUCUGUAUGUUCUUCCUACUUCGGGAUAAAUCCAGUUUUCUUCCAUUCAUCCCAUUCUAUCCUGCUCCCUUUAUAUGAUAGUUUUAAGGAAGAAAAUAUCAAUCAGACUUAAACUGCAGGUAUGUGAUAAGAGUUAUUUAGAAUGAGAGUGGGAUAUUAGGCUGGAUAACUCAAAGUAAUAGAGUUAGAACUAGUGUUGGGAAGGGGGUUUAAAACCUGCAGGGUGGCGUUUCUGGAAUAGUCUCCCAGCUCACUCUGCAGACAUUUCCCAGCAUCCUUGGGCCAUUGCAGAAGCAGUGAUGAAACUUCACUUAUUGGCCACAGGAUGGCACUGUGGUCCCCUGGGAUCUAAGUUGGCUCUGGAGAAGGUCUGGGAGAGCAGCCUAGGAGGGAAAGGGUUAAGAAAAAUUAGGGCUUGGAUCCAAUAUUAUGCAGAUGUUGCAGCAGUUUUCUGUUAGUGCUAGACUACCCACAGCUAUGCAGGAUGCAGGAAAUACCUCUAAUCUUGAAUGAGAUCCACAGUUCAAAGUUUGACCAGGCAGCCUUGGCGCCAGGAGCAGGUGCAGACAGAGGAGCACCUGCCUCAAAGGAACAUGGGAAAGUGGGGCGCAGGCUGUGCCCUAAGCCCAGUGAGUGUCUUCUGCACCCCAUCUUCCCUGCAGGCCUCGCCAGGCAACAGCCUUCACAAGAGGAGGUCCAUUCAGCCUGAGCCCAGUCAGAAGGACCUGGAGCAGGUGGAUUCUGUAGGGGAUGCGGGGUGACACCACAGGCCCACCAGACGGUUCCCUAGAGAGCAGCCUCUGAGCCCCAGAGUCCCCGUGCUUCUCAAGUCUUGUCUUCCUUAUGAUAGUAUUUGCACCAGGGCAUCCUCAUCCUCAUCUCACAUCACUCCUCUGCUCUUCCACAAUCUUCAGCUAAUGGAUCCCAAUCAGGCUUUGUGGGAUUACCCAGACACCAAGACACCACAUUAUGCAGACAAGAAAAGAGACGGUCCUGGGAUGUGUUCAGGGAGAAGAAAACAGCAGAAAGCAUCUGGGAAGCUUGCGCCUGCCUGAGUGAUCUGGGAUUCUCACACAGCACACGUAACAUCACUUUGGCUUUGGAUCCUUGCUACACCAAGCAUGUGUUCUCUGGGGGACAAGAAAAUCUGAUUUUUUGUUUGUUAUAAAGUUAUAAAACACACAAGUGAACAAUCCACUAAGGGAGAGUGUUAAUAGAUGCAACAAACUCUGCCAUUAGACCUGAAGAUAAUGGGCUAGUAGAAUUAUCAAAAAGAGGUUACGAGUCUCUUACCAAGUACCUGUUUAAGUUCCUCUGAGGAUAGAUCAAGGAAGAAACUUAAUUCUUACCAUCACUGUGGCUUGGAUUAAAAUCCAUGAAAUCCUUAUAUUGUUUUUCUUGUAAAAUGUUAUAAAAUAAUAUAGACCACACAUUUUAUUUUCCUUUAGCCUGUCAUCCUCUUUAGCACCAAGAGGGAGAAGCCCAUGUCCCGGCGCAAGACUUCCUAGGUUGGGAUCCAUUAACUGAAGGACUGGGAGGUCCAUGCCGGGCUCCAUGGGAAGUUGCAAACCCCAUGUGCAGAGAACCCCAUGUUUCUCUUCUGUGCCCAAUGUCACCCUAUGAGGCUGCCAAGGGGGGAUGCUGAGUCACCCAGGACUCCACUCAGAAAAAGGGGAGCAGGCUGCUUGCUUGGCACACACACACACAAAAAUCAAUUCACCAACUGGCCAAUCUGCUGAAAGCCAAAAUGAAAGGCUAAUGGCUGAGAUUGAUGAAUGCCCAAUUUCUCAAAUUAUUAAAUUUAUAGCAACUCGUGGUUCUUGGUAUGACUUCAACCGCAAGUGAGAAUUUUUUUCUUUCUCUGUAGCUUUCUUUCAGCCAGCUAUUCUCAGUUAUGUCUUAGCCCCUUAUCUGUCCAGCUCAUUUUCAUGCUAAAUUUGUUGUAUAUCUCAGCAAAAAGCAUGUCUCACCUUCUCCAUAUUUUAUGUGGUCAUAGUGUGUUCCUGUCUUAUUCUUAUGUGAUACAUUUCUAGAUUGGACUGUACAGAAUACAAGCAUCUGUUUGUAUAUGACUCCCAUCUUUUAUGCGGAUAGGUCAGAGAAGGUGAGCAUGCACCAUGAUUCUCUGCUGGAAUCUCUUUGGAUUCUAUGUCCCCUGUCACAUGAUUUACUUUCAUAUGCGUAUUUCUCAUGGUUCUCCUGACUCUUUUAGCAAUGCUCAUUGCAGGACAUUUGUUAGAAAUUUUAUUCUUUUUUUUUUUUGGGAUAGAGUUUCACUGUUGUUACCCAGACUGGAGAGCAAUGGCACAAUCUCGGCUCACCGCAACCUCCACCUUCUGGGUUCAAGCAAUUCUCCUGCCUCAGCCUCCCGAGUAGCUGGGAUUACAGGCGUGCACCACCAUGCCCAGCUAAUUUUUUGUAUGUUUAGUAGAGAUGGGGUUUCACCUCGUUGACCAGGAUGGUCUCGAUCUCUUGACCUCGUGAUCCAUCCACCUCGGCCUCCCAAAGUGCUGGGAUUAUAGGCGUGAGCCACCGCGCCCGGCCUGAAAUUUAAUUACUUCUAAUGACAGAAUGUUCUCUUAAGGCAAAAUAAAAUAUCCCAUACUCACUUUUCCAUUGCUGUGUCUAUUAGUCAUAGUCCUGGAGAUAUCAAGGAAGGAUAAAAGGAGUAUUUGCAAAGGUGUGGCAGGGUUAAGGGAACCCAAUAAGAGAAGCUGAAGUAGCCUAGGAGUAGCAGAAUCUGUUGUUCUUACUCACAUUGGCCUGAAAUAAGUAGGAGAGGUUGUGGCUCCCAAAGCAUCUGGUACUGUAGCUUUGGGCCAAGGCCAACUAUAAGGUGCUAUGGCCUUUGGUAGGGAAAGUAACCAAUAUAAAACAAUGCAGCAAGAAAGAGCCAGGGCAUAGACAAAUCAGGACAAGUGGUGACCCUACCUCCCUCUGCUCUCCUGCCAUUGUCUCCCAUUAGCCAAACUCACCCUGGAGUUAGAGAAGAAGUGAGCCAGUUAACAUAGAACACUGGGGUCAGCCUCUGAAGGCAGGAUAGAUCUGGAUACAUUAACAGAAAUUACCCAGAGCACUACACAUAAGAUGGCCUUAAGGGUGCCGAAUCCCAAACUGGCUGGCUAGGUCUGUUCUGUGAGCCGAUAAAGCCCUAGUAUUAUUUCUGUGGAAUCUGUACUCUUAAUAAUUUACAGGCAACCCAGGUGCUCUUUGAGUCUGAUCAGAUGGACUAAAUCUUGGGGAAUCUGCACACCUGCCCACUCAGGGUUGGUAAUGUUUUCUGGGGACAAAAAUAAAAUUAGAACUGGAAAAUUUGGUUGAAUCUAGCAUCAGAGAGAUGAUCUUAGGACAGCCAGGAAGAGCUGGAACAGGGUUUAGUCACAGGCUCCUCUGCUGAUGGGCAGGUGUGUGAGCUCCAGCAUGGAGCACCGCAGCACUAGGUGGAGGAGGGUGAGAGUGUGGUGGGGCAGCCUGGGAGCUGGGGC